rnacentral:rRNA from 1 species
UACAGAGGGGGCAAGCGUUGUUCGGAAUUACUGGGCGUAAAGGGCUCGUAGGCGGCCAACUCAGUCGGACGUGAAAUCCCUCGGCUUAACCGGGGAACUGCGUCCGAUACUGGAUGGCUUGAGUGUGGGAGAGGGAUGCGGAAUUCCAGGUGUAGCGGUGAAAUGCGUAGAUAUCUGGAGGAACACCGGUGGCGAAGGCGGCAUCCUGGACUACUACUGACGCUGAGGAGCGAAAGCCAGGGGAGCAAACGGG